UCUUCCUCAAGUCACCCAGAGGGACUAAGACAUGAGGAUAAGAUGCAAGUGAAGGAUAAGAAAGAGAAAAUCAAAGAAAGACAAAUCAUUGUUUGGUUAAACUACUCACAACCCACAUCCACACUAACAAAACAGUGCUUCAUUUGAAAGAGCCACAAGCCAAAAAAAUAAGAAAACACAAAGGUAUUUCUGUUUAGAUUUUUGUUUUUUUUGUCCACCUGGUUUCUAAGGCUCCAGUUUAGUUUGCCCUUGACCUAUCUUUUGUCUGGAAGCAGGAGCCUUAAUGUCCUCUCAGACUAAUGCCUGCCCGGCGCCACGUCUUUCUCACUGUUCUCUCAGCCUCCAAGAGUCAUCAUCAUGACUGUCUGUCUGGCCUUCUCUGCAUUAUCUGCUGGCACUCAGGCUCCUCCAAGGCCUCCAACUGCGCUCUGCACUCAACUGACUGAGAAAACGACAGGGCAGAUGGGAGGAUAACAAAUCAGGUUGUAGCCAAUCACAUUAUUAGGUCUCUUUGAUGGAGCGAAGUGAUUGAAAACAAGCUUGACUGCAUAUUUUGGAACUAUUUAGCUUGUUUCUUACCUUAUCAUAAUGAUGAUAUUUUACUUUUAAUACAACUGUCAGGCAGCACCACAAAGAGACACAAAAAGACCACAAAGAUGGAAAAUUACCACAAAGUGACCACAAAGAAACACAAAAACAAAGAGACACAAAACAAUUGAAAAGAUGCAAAAUAUUUGUAAAGAGAUGCAAAGUUCAAUGUAAUAAAUUCAGGCCAAAUAAACAUUUUGCAUUUAUUAUCAAAGAA